CUCACAGCCAGGGGAUUUCUAUUCAUAGCUGUCAACCUGCCUGUGGUCCCCAUGGUGGUGCAGUCAGUGAAGAGGAGUGGGGCUGUCUACCAGGGAGGGGUCAGACUAUAUUCUGGAGAGAAAUGCUCAGCACUGGCUUCCAUGGCAGGGUGCACCUGAUCUGCCUGUCUUUUGAAAAAGGGCCUCGAGGUGUUGGAUGCUGCAAAAUGGAUUGGCAGCAGGAAAGGCAGGUUCCCAAAUUAUUCCCAGCAGUAGCAGCAGCAGCGGCAUUAAGGACAGAAUACAGCUAAUUAGGCCCUAGACACUCUUACUCCACCAAUCCCUUCUUUGAAUGAUUGUUUAUAGACUGAGGUGCGACCCCAUUUCUCCAGAGUCCGCACUGGGCUGGAUUCCAGGAGCUCCUAAAUCCCAUAUCCCCCAUCCAACACCGAGUCCCUCUAUGUCUUGUGGCAAAAAGCUCAGCACUUACCUGGCACUUUCUUCCAACAUCAGAGCACUUUACUAACAUAUAUUAAUUGAUUCCCGUGACACCCCAGUCCUGCAGACAUUGUGAUCUUUGUUUUCCAGAUGGGGAGACCGAAAGACAUCCUGGGCUUAUGUGGGACGAGUGGAAGUUGCACCUGAUUUGCUCCAUAGUGCAGGUCCCUGUGUCCUUCUCUCUAACUGGGACAUUAGCCCUGACAAGCCUGCCCGAUUGCACACGGGGCAUCACAAACAGCAGCUCCUCUGUGCUCACCCCUGGCAGCAGCCUCCUGUUUCAGAGUCCCCAGGGGGAGCGUUAGAUUGGCUGGACCUGACCCUUCGCUGUGGUGAUGGGUUGAGGAGGAAAAAGGGGAGGAUUUGGUUUCUUCAGCCUCUGAAGACAGAGGACGCGCCUGCCUCCCACCAAGACUGCCCAUGAAAGAGGACACCCAAGGGAUGCUGGACGCCGCACAGACGGAAACCUGACAAAUGCCCUGUACAAAUGUCUCCGGGAGCUGGGAAGAGGCACCAUGGUGACGGAGAUUCAAUUGUGAAUGUAAGCUGCUGUGGGCAACAAUUUUGUGUGUCUUGUUUACUGGUAUUUCUCCAGUGCCUGGAAAGGUGCCUGACGCAGAGUUAGCACUCAAUCAAUAUUUGUUGAAGAUGGCCUGCCUGUAGUCCCAGCUACUUGGGCGGCUGAGGCAGGAG